UAAAUACUCCCUUCGUCCGGAAAUACUCGUCGGAGAAAUGCAUAAAAAUGGAUAUAUCUAGAACUAAAAUGCAUCUAGAUACAUCUAUUUCUCCAACAAGUAUUUUGGGACGGAGGGAGUACUUG
rnacentral:pre_miRNA from 1 species